UCGAUAACGAACGAGACCUCGACCUACUAAAUAGUUAAUCGAACUCCUCGGAGUUUGCGUUGACUUCUUAGAGGGACUUUUGGCUACUAGUCAAAGGAAGUUCGAGGCAAUAACAGGUCUGUGAUGCCCUUAGAUGUUCUGGGCCGCACGCGCGCUACACUGAUCGGUUCAUCGAGUUUACAACCUUGACUGAUAGGUCUGGGUAAUCUUGAAAAGCCGGUCGUGCUGGGGAUAGAUCAUUGCAAUUAUUGAUCUUCAACGAGGAAUUCCUAGUAAACGCGAGUCAUCAACUCGCAUUGAUUACGUCCCUGCCCUUUGUACACACCGCCCGUCGCUAAUACCGAUUGAAUGGAUU
rnacentral:rRNA from 1 species